ACGUCCACAUCAUGUUAAAACAUUGGUUCCCGUACGAUCAUCGAAGUUAAGCAACGUUGAGCCUGAUCGAUACCUAGAUGGAUGAACGCUUGGGAAUAUCAGGUGCUGUAAG